GAGCGGCGGACGGGUGAGUAAGGUAUGGGGAUCUGGCCGAAGGCGGGGGAUAACCACUGGAAACGGUGGCUAAUACCGCAUAAUCUCUAAGGAGCAAAGUGGGGGACUUUCGGGCCUCACACCUUCGGAUGAACCCAUAUGAGAUUAGCUAGUAGGUGGGGUAAAGGCUCACCUAGGCUACGAUCUCUAGCUGGUCUGAGAGGAUGAUCAGCCACACUGGGACUGAGACACGGCCCAGACUCCUAGGGGAGGCAGCAGUGGGGAAUAUUGCACAAUGGGCGCAAGCCUGAUGCAGCCAUGCCGCGUGUAUGAAGAAGGCCUUCGGGUUGUAAAGUACUUUCAGUCGUGAGGAAGGUGUUAGGGUUAAUAGUCUUAGCAAUUGACAUUAGCGACAGAAGAAGCACCGGCUAACUCCGUGCCAGCAGCCGCGGUAAUACGGAGGGUGCGAGCGUUAAUCGGAAUUACUGGGCGUAAAGGGCACGCAGGCGGUUAGUUAAGUUGGAUGUGAAAUCCCCGGGCUUAACCUGGGAAUGGCAUUCAAGACUGGUUAGCUAGAGUCUUGUAGAGGGGGGUAGAAUUCCAUGUGUAGCGGUGAAAUGCGUAGAGAUGUGGAGGAAUACCGGUGGCGAAGGCGGCCCCCUGGAUAAAGACUGACGCUCAUUUGCGAAAGCGUGGGGAGCAAACAGGAUUAGAUACCCUGGUAGUCCACGCUGUAAACGAUGUCGAUUUGGAGGUUGUGGUCCUGAACUGUGGCCUCCGGAGCUAACGCGUUAAAUCGACCGCCUGGGGAGUACGGCCGCAAGGUUAAAACUCAAAUGAAUUGACGGGGGCCCGCACAAGCGGUGGAGCAUGUGGUUUAAUUCGAUGCAACGCGAAGAACCUUACCUACUCUUGACAUCCAGAGAAUCCUUUAGAGAUAGAGGAGUGCCUUCGGGAACUUUGAGACAGGUGCUGCAUGGCUGUCGUCAGCUCGUGUUGUGAAAUGUUGGGUUAAGUCCCGCAACGAGCGCAACCCUUAUCCUUUGUUGCCAUCGAUUCGGUCGGGAACUCAAAGGAGACUGCCGGUGAUAAACCGGAGGAAGGUGGGGAUGACGUCAAGUCAUCAUGGCCCUUACGAGUAGGGCUACACACGUGCUACAAUGGCGUAUACAGAGAGAGGCGAGCCUGCGAGGGGAAGCGGAACUCAGAAAGUACGUCGAAGUUCGGAUUGGAGUCUGCAACUCGACUCCAUGAAGUCGGAAUCGCUAGUAAUCGCGGAUCAGCAUGUCGCGGUGAAUACGUUCCCGGGCCUUGUACACACCGCCCGUCACACCAUGGGAGUGGGUUGCAAAAGAAGUAGGUAGCUUAACCUUCGGGAUGGCGCUUACCACUUUGUGAUUCAUGACUGGGGUGAAGUCGUAACAAGGUAACCGUA
rnacentral:rRNA from 1 species